rnacentral:rRNA from 1 species
UGGGGAAUUUUGCGCAAUGGGGGAAACCCUGACGUAGCAACGCCGCGUGAGUGAUGAAGGCCUUCGGGUCGUAAAGCUCUGUCAGAGGGGAAGAAAUGCAGGGGUGCUAAUAUCAUCUUUGCUUGACGGUACCCUCAAAGGAAGCACCGGCUAACUCCGUGCCAGCAGCCGCGGUAAUACGGAGGGUGCGAGCGUUGUUCGGAAUUAUUGGGCGUAAAGCGCGUGUAGGCGGUUUGAUAAGUCUGAUGUGAAAGCCCCGGGCUCAACCUGGGAAGUGCAUUGGAAACUGUCAGACUUGAAUACGGGAGAGGGUAGUGGAAUUCCUAGUGUAGGAGUGAAAUCCGUAGAUAUUAGGAGGAACACCGGUGGCGAAGGCGGCUACCUGGACCGAUAUUGACGCUGAGACGUGAAAGCGUGGGGAGCAAACAG